rnacentral:rRNA from 2 species
GAGUGUUUAAAGCAAGCUAACGCUUGAAUACAUUAGCAUGGAAUAAUGAAAUAGGACGUUUCGAUCUUAUUUUGUUGGUUUCUAGGAUUGACGUAAUGAUUAAUAGGGAUAGUUGGGGGCAUUAGUAUUCAAUUGUCAGAGGUGAAAUUCUUGGAUUUAUUGAAGACUAACUACUGCGAAAGCAUUUGCCAAGGAUGUUUUCAUUAAUCAAGAACGAAAGUUAGGGGAUCGAAGACGAUCAGAUACCGUCGUAGUCUUAACCAUAAACUAUGCCGACUAGGGAUCGGACGGUGUUAUUUUUGUCCCGUUCGGCGCCUUACGGGAAAC